UACGUAGGGUGCAAGCGUUAAUCGGAAUUACUGGGCGUAAAGCGUGCGCAGGCGGUCUUGCAAGACAGAUGUGAAAUCCCCGGGCUCAACCUGGGAACUGCAUUUGUGACUGCAAGGCUGGAGUACGGUAGAGGGGGAUGGAAUUCCGCGUGUAGCAGUGAAAUGCGUAGAUAUGCGGAGGAACACCGAUGGCGAAGGCAACCCCCUGGACCUGUACUGACGCUCAUGCACGAAAGCGUGGGGAGCAAACAGG
rnacentral:rRNA from 1 species